GAGUGAAACGUUACAAAGUUUUUCCUCUCUGACAUUAGCUUGUAUGGAAACCUAUGAAAGUUCUGUUUGUAAAACUUGUGAUGCCGUGGAUGCCAACAUAAAGUCCGUUUAUCAACUAAUGGCUAAGUGUGAAGAGUUGAGCAAUUCAAUGCAACCCUUGUAUAAAGUUUCUGCUGAAGU